CCAAAUCGCAGAAUAACCUAAUUUUGCGUGAUCCAUUUCAAUGGAUCGCGAUCCAAAUAUCACAAUAUAUAUUGAACGUGUAGCUGUGCCCUAAAGAAAAUUUUAAAAUAGGAGAACACAUAUGGAACCGUAACAGCAAAUCCAAUAUAGAAUCGUUUACAUAAUCUGUUGAAAUUUCAUAAAAUUUUAUAGAAAUUGCAAACGGAAUGACAAACUUAUAUAUGUAUGUAUAUAGCCUUGCCACUUAUGUUUAAAGGUAUUAAAAGAAUUAAACACAACAAUCGAACAAAAAGCUUUUUCUGAAAUGUUUGUGAUUUACUUUCAUGGUUAAAAACGGCUAAACAAAAUAGAAUAACAAUAUGGGAGUCAAGGCGAAUUGUUUAGACAAGUGAACUGUCAAUUCACUUGUGGUUGUUGUGUCGAAAAAAACAAAUUAAUUAAUUAAACAAAUAAAAAAGUGAAACAUUUAUAAUGUCACAAGAGAGUGAAACUGAAAGUGUGCGGCUGGUAGAAUCGGAGUUAACGACAGAAAAACAAAUUUUGAAAGAAUUUAUUUUUAAUUUGGAAGCAUUGCCGGAGUUGUGGGACUCGUCGACUAAAGCUUAUUCCGACAAAAUAAAAAGAGCGGCUGCAUACCAAAAAUUAUUACAAGUUUUUAAGAAAAUCAAGCCCACUCGACGAUGUUCGAAAGAAAAUAAAAUCAUUAAGGUCGAAUUAUAGAAAGGAGCUGAAAAGAAUUGUUGACUCAAAACGCACCUAAAUCAUGAACUUUUAAAGCUCUGCAAUUUCUAGAAAAAACAGAAAAGCCUGUUAACGUGGUCGUGGUUUCUGAAUAUGAUAGUGAUUCGGUAGAAAUUAAUGCAAGAAGCCAAUCUCUGGAAGAAUUAUACUACUCCUCUUUUUCGUCUGUUAACCCUAUACUUCCUCCGAAAAAAAAGCUAGGUUAAUGUGUUUCCCGGAAGUGGUUCUUAUAUGGAGGGUAUGACCAAUUAUGGGACGAUCAUCAUAACAUUUGGUACAUCGAUUUUCAUAUAUAUUAUACUUUGUUGCGGCCUUGUCUCAAGAGAAAAUUAUUAAUACCACUGCCAAUGUGUGGUAAAAUGCCCCAAAACCCGCACCCGUCCGAAAAAAUAUUUUGCGUGGGGAGUUUGGCGAUCUAAAUGCCAAUGGAUGGAACAAUACAUAAUUACCAUGUCCUGUCCAAUGGUUGUAGAAAUAUUACUGAAAGAUAAAAAUGUGUUGUGGUUGGGAACUCUACCACCAGAUGACAGUUUUAUUGUAUUUAUCAUCUUCUCUUUACACUCAUCUUUCAUUAACACAUUGACUGCCAAGGCACUUUCAGCAAAUAAGAUGCUUGGGGCCAUAGCAUUUUCUUUGCGUAAUCUCUUCUAAAACGUCAAUAUUGGAAUUUAGGCUACUGUCAGUAAUAUUUACUGCUUAGAAACAGAUUUUGUUUUAUAAAUAAGAGGGUCUUACGAAAUGGCGAAAAGGAUUUUUUUAUGGGAUACUGAGUUAGAAAAAAUACUGAGUACAUGUUCAGAAAGUGAUGAAGAAUGUGAAGAUUACAGUUUUGAUGAGGAACUUCCAGACAACAUCGAACAAAUUCUUAAUAUCCAGCACUAUUGUCUGACAUGGCUAGAGAGAAUAAAAGUAGUGUCGGACAUAUGUGUCCGACGUGGCGUAAACCGCAUAGUGCAGUGUCACACAUAUGUGUCCGACGUGGCAGUCAAUGUGUUAAAUACAUACAUUGUUUAUAACUGUUAACCGUAAUUUAUUUGAUCAUAUGUAUUAUUCGAUUGGUAGCUUUUAAAUAAUAAACAUCGUUUUAUAAUUAUUAAUUUUAAAACAA